rnacentral:rRNA from 1 species
GACGAACGCUGGCGGCGUGCCUAACACAUGCAAGUCGAGCGGAGUCGAUCGACGGAAGCCUUCGGGCGGAAGAUGGUUGACUUAGCGGCGGAUGGGUGAGUAACGCGUGGGCAACCUGCCUCGAAGACCGGGAUAACAGCCCGAAAGGGCUGCUAAUACCGGAUGUGGUCAAGGAUCCGCAUGGAUUUUUGAUUAAAGGGGAAACCCGUUUCGAGAUGGGCCCGCGUCCUAUCAGCUAGUUGGUGAGGUAAAAGCUCACCAAGGCGACGACGGGUAGCCGGCCUGAGAGGGUGACCGGCCACACUGGAACUGAGACACGGUCCAGACUCCUACGGGGGGCAGCAGUGGGGAAUCUUCCACAAUGGGCGAAAGCCUGAUGGAGCGACGCCGCGUGAGCGAAGAAGGCCUUCGGUUGUAAAGCUCUGUCUGGAGGGACGAAGGAAGUGACGGUACCUCCGGAGGAAGGCCACGGCUAACUACGUG